GAGGGUAUAGCUCAGAAGUAGUGUGCGUGUUUAGUAUGCAUGAGGUCUUGGGUUGAAUCCCCAGUACCUUCA
rnacentral:tRNA from 1 species